AGAACUGAUAAACAUGUAUGUUGGAGAGUCAGAGAGGAAUAUCAGGGACAUCUUUAAGAAGGCUAGAUCAGCACGCCCAUGAGUAAUUUUCUUCGAUGAGCUUGAUUCCCUUGCUCCUGCACGAGGGUCCUUUGCAGAUUCUGGAGAUGUGAUGGAUAAAUGGUUUCUCAGCACAAAUGCCCGACGGAGAUGCAUAUGUUUGGCAUUCUAUCAGUAAACAUACAUGUGCACUGGCUUGCAGUACUACAUUUUGUGAUUGUGUAGUAUCCACACCACUACUAAUGCUUAAGUCCGUUGCAUUGUCGUGUAAUUGUGUCAUAUGCACACCAAUACUAAUGCUCUAUGCUCUCGCCUGAGAGCACGUGCUAUGCUUUGUAUCAUCUAAAAAAGAUGUAAACUCAGUAAGAAGAAACAGACUUUAGCAUUG